CACGUAGGGGGCGAGCGUUGUCCGGAUUUAUUGGGCGUAAAGAGCUCGUAGGCGGUUUCUUAAGUCCGUUGUGAAAGCCCUGGGCUCAACCUGGGAACUGCAGUGGAUACUGAGAGGCUAGAGUGUGUCAGAGGAUGGUGGAAUUCCCGGUGUAGCGGUGAAAUGCGUAGAGAUCGGGAGGAACAUCAGUGGCGAAGGCGGCCAUCUGGGACAACACUGACGCUGAGGCACGAAAGCGUGGGGAGCAAACAGG
rnacentral:rRNA from 1 species